CAGACUAUAGUUGGUAUGUGCUAAGUAUUACACAUUCACAACGAGGCUUUCGCCAUAUUGUUAUUUCCAAUCGAGGAACAGUCGACGUCUUCACUGCUCCGUCGUUGCCGAGGAAAUCUCGACAUUUUGAAGAAUUCGAAAGCCAAUUCUUGUUGAAGUGUGCAGUCAGCACAUGGUGAGGAGGACCAGAAUUAACCUCUGAUUCCAAAUCAAUACUAUCGGCGUAACACCAGUGACAUCAUUUACAAUACAAUUUGAAAAUGAAUAAAUUCCAAGAGGGUCUUCAACAGCAACGGAAGUUGGUAGAGCAGCUACGCCUUGAGGCGGCCAUCCAGCGUGUGCGCGUAUCAGAGUGUAUUUACGACAUCGAGAAGUACUGUGAGCAACACUCGGAGGAGGACGCUUUACUAAAAGGAUUCCAAAGGCCCAGCGACAACCCCUUCAAGGAGAAGGGUGGAUGUGCGAUAUUGUAGGACUUGUACGGGGUGUCGUCGGGCACACUUCAGCUGUAUGCUGGUUCAAACCUAUAUUGUAUAAGGAUUUUGUCUUGGAAAAAUACUUAUUGCCAAAGACGUGAAUAAUAUAAUGAAGACAUGUCGAAUUCAAAUACAUGUACCUUCCAAAUUUCCCCGUUCCCUUGAAUGUUUGGCUCAAAAGUGACUCUUGCUAUUUCAAAUGUUUUUUCUCUAAAUCAAAUGUGUAUUUUCGUAUUGUAUAUAUUUGUCGUAAGCUGCUGGUAAUACAUGUAACUUUUGUUUCGUGUGUAUUUCAUAUAUUAUUGUGACGGAAUCAACCUUAUAAAUCCGUUGUGGGUAACAAACCCACGUCUGAAUGACUUACACUCGGAUACGUAGGGACAGCGAGACACGCAUUGCCAUGUCAUCUUAUUCAUCCCGAUCACUUGUUAGUCGGAAUUUUCGUUAACCGGAAAAUUUGUGAGUCCGGACUUCCGUAAUCAGGAAAAAAUGGUUCGCCGGACUUUCAUAAUUACAGAUUUGUGUCACAGAAGCAAGUGUCAGGUUAAUGAUAUGUGAAAAAAGCUCGCAAGUUUUAUAGAAAUUAAAGUAGGUUUGUCUCAUUAUGAACAUCAAAUUCUUUGCUAUAUAGUAGUUGAUGCCAUUUCGGUGUUUUGGCCCACAAUAAAGACCUUGUAUAACCUGAUUCAAACAUAUUUUUGGGAUUUAUAAUAGUUUUUGAAAAGGACUAAAAGGGAAAAAAAAUGACUGAACAAGGUUUUUGUACCACUUUGCGUGUAUAACUUAAGAUUUUACGCAAAUUAUUCGUAUAUUUUAUGCACACUUACUCUUUUGAGCCGAGCUUUCUAUUCUGAUUGGCGGAUUCAUGUGUCUCACGACGUGUAUGCCUUAUUUCUAGAUAAUUAUUGAUAGAUCAAUAUCAUUCGGAUUUUAAUUAAUGAUAUACAUUACGAUACAUACUAUAUUGUAGUACCUUUAAAUUUCUUGGGUAUGGUGAUUGAAGUUUUAUUUAUUUUCAUAUUGGUCACUGCUGCAUAUAGAUUGUUGUUCAUAGACACAUAUACAUUACAUUUACCGUAAGGCCCAUGAAAGUUUGGCUAACGGAAAAGUUUCACGCUUAAAGUGUGGAUUAAAUUGAUUUGUUGCCCCAUUUUAUGUCGCGAAUACCGAAUUCUAACGGAUUCUCCUGGACCUAUCAGAGUAACUGGGAGAGUAUGGGGUCUCUUGCUGCCACAAGGGAAAACCUGUGUAAUCGCUGGGUUACUGUGGUAGCUAUCGGCCGAGUUAAUCAAAGCUAGACUCAAUAAUCUAAUAGUCAAAGAUAUUUCACGAUUUUUUUGAUUUUUUUUUUGAAUCUGAUGUUUGGUACGUGUUGUCAUCAGUUAAACAUUUGGAAACCCAAAACAUACAUUUAUAUUUUAGAGGGAGGCUUUAACACUGUGGUGAAAGCUAGCGUAUAUAGUCAUUAAUAUAUAAACAUGCAUUGCUCUAGUUGGCGUAUACUACUAAUAUAUAUUUUUCAAAAAUCAUUUUAUUGAUGUUACCUAUACAAGACACAUAAAGUUAUACAGAAAAUUUAAUAUAUUAUAAAGCUUUAUUUUUUCUCUAGAUUCAUACCUACCUACACCAAGAUGAAAAGUACAGAAGUAUGAAUUUAAUAUUAAAGAUAAGUUGGGCGAGUCUGGUAAUUCGCUUGUUGUAAUGUAGAUUAUUUAAUGGUAGUGAUGAUGGUGGUGGUUAUAUUUUGGGUUGGUGAUUGUUUCUUUAAGCGCUGUUUCGUUUCACGAGACUUCAUGGAGAUCGAUGAUUGAUUGCAACUUGCAUAUGUUCUCCGCGAAAAUUGCAUUCUCGUUUGUAUAAAAUUAUCUUAUUGCUGGAUGAUCAAAAACUUAAAAAGUCAAAAAUUAUUUUAAAUGUUUUAACAUCGAAAUCUAAAAAUCGGAUGUAUGAACUCGAAAUCUCAUUAAUUAUAUCAGCACAAAGUAAUGCUAACCCAUUUGAUAUCUUGGUCCCAUAUUAUUUUGAUCGAUUUCGUACACUGAAUGUGAAUGUAUGUUAUAAAUGUGAAUAGUAUCAUAAUGGAAAAUAUUUUUCCUGUUAAUCAUUCGUGUGUUGUGAUGGUUGUAAACAUUUUUGUCUAUGACACUAUAUUGAAAAAUGCGAAAUUAUUUGUAAGCUGUCUAAAUUUGUGAUAUGCUCGAACUGUACCGUAUGAAUGGUUUGCCGAUUUGUUAUCCAAUCAUUGGACAUAUCACAUGACGGAGUUCUGUCCAAUGAAAACCUCACUUAGUGGACCCCUGCCUCUAGUCCUGCUAUUGUCCGCUUGACGUCGCUCCACCUUCCUGUUACUGUCCGCUUUACGCAUGCCCGGGAAGGUAUGGAGUAAAUAGAAGGAGAGUCAUGGUUACUGACCUAGGAUACAGAGGUCCACCCUACAGUAAGGGUUUAUCGUACACACGUUAUAUUCUACAAGAUCGUUAACUUACAACAUCGUAUACUUAAAAGUAUCUGUCCUGGUCCAGCCAUUUGCUCAAGUCCUGCCAUAUUGUGACAAAUCGGGUUCCUUUGUCUUUACACAAAGAGACGCCAGUUCAAAUAAACUUUACGAAAUGUUCCUUUCCUCAGCCUUGAUAAAGUUUUUCAUGGAAUCCGUCUACACUAGCAAAUCUAUAAAGUUAACUUGUCAGAACAACGUCGCCCACACAAGUUAUGUACUUCUUGCAAACGCAUGCAUAUGUGGAAAUUGUAAACAUAACUUUUCUAGAUUUUACCAAGGUGAUAUUCGGUAUCUAAUCCUUUAUAUAUUUUGACACUGCACAUCGGAGGCCAAACAGAAAGAGUCGAAAUCUAAUAAGACCUAGAAAUUAUAUUGAAAUAACGAAACAGUAGUACUCUCCUUUGGACUUUAACGUUGAUAUACAACUAUCACUAGACAUCCAUUAUUCUGGAGAAUGACGUCAUGUGUUUAUAAGGAGCACGUGCUUGUGUGGAGCGACCUGCAUGUCUUUUAAUGCAUGUAUACGAUUAACAACACUGUUCUUUUACAUACUGACUAGGAUUCCUCUGUCAUUUAUAAUGUAUCCCGACACAAGUGCUCUUCUAGGAUUGGUCCAAUAAAUUAUCGUAAGAGACAGCAA